CACUGAAAUGAUUUUGUUUGAUGUAACUAUGAGAAAUAAUGUCAGCACCGGACAAACCAAAAAGGUUUAGGAGGGUUUCAACUACACUGAGAACUCUACUUGAAAUGCAGAUCAUUCCUAUUGAUGGAAGAACACAUACUAGUGGUAGCGAAUAUACAGUGUGUUACUGAUAAGCAGACAUCUGAUGGCAUAUAGCAAGGCCACAGGUACAUGGCCAAAAAGUGGCCUGCCAGCCAUGGUUCAGGGACUGGGACUGCAACAUUUGGGAAGACUACAUAGUGGAAUAGAUUUGUGCCUCUGUGUGCCUGCUACUGCUUGUAUGGUCCAGUUAUGGCAAUGUCAAAAUCAUCAUUAUCGUAUUUUGGAUCACUUUAUAUCAGACGGCAAAUCAUGUAUUUUUUCUGUCUUAUGUAGAAAAUUCCUGACA